AGAACGAACGCUGGCGGCAUGCCUAACACAUGCAAGUCGAACGCUCUUGGGGCUUCGGUUCCAAGGGAGUGGCGCACGGGUGAGUAGCGCGUGGGAACCUGCCCUGGAGUGGGGGAUAACCGAGGGAAACUUCGGCUAAUACCGCAUGCGCCCGGGAAACCGGGGAAAGAUUUAUCGCUCUAGGAGGGGCCCGCGUCGGAUUAGCUAGUUGGUGGGGUAACGGCCUACCAAGGCUUUGAUCCGUAGCUGGUCUGAGAGGAUGAUCAGCCACACUGGGACUGAGACACGGCCCAGACUCCUACGGGAGGCAGCAGUGGGGAAUAUUGGACAAUGGGCGCAAGCCUGAUCCAGCAAUGCCGCGUGAGUGAUGAAGGCCUUCGGGUUGUAAAGCUCUUUCGCACGCGAGGAUGAUGACGCUAGCGUGAGAAGAAGCCCGGCUAACUUCGCGCCAGCAGCCGC
rnacentral:rRNA from 1 species